AUGGAUAGCACAACCCAUGGCGGCAAACAAGAUGGCUGUAAUGAGCUGAUUCUGCAAGGCCUGGCAAUUCUUCAGAGGCUCGCCUUUGAUCAACAGAACUGCAGCGACAUAUGCCGCACCCCUGGUCUCCUCCCUAAGAUCAUGGCACCACUGUACUCUGAGACACUAAUCCAAGAUAUCAAUGCAAAUCAAUGGGCCGAUGUAGUGAAUGGGUCACUCAAAGUGGUACACAGGCUCAUCCGUUCUCCAGAGUGGAUUGGCAGAAGUGAUCUGGUCCACAAAAUCUGUUCGAACGAGCAUGCACUGAGCAACCUGGAGAGAAUUCUUUAUCAGGGAAAAAAUGAUGGCACAGAACUGCAGAUGAGAGCCAUAGAAAUACUGACAGAACUGGUCACUGAUUCGUCAGCCAACCUCAGCACCGAAACAAAAGAAAAUCUAAUCAAGAAGCAGUUGCAGAUAUUCCUUACCAGUGAUGAAAGGGAAGAAGAAAAGCUUAGAGUUACGGCUGGGAAAGCACUGGCAUUACUUUCCAGGAGAAAAUCUAUCUCUAAGUUUAUAAUGAAGGAAAAGAAUAAUAUUGUUGAGCAUCUCAAUGGAAUACUUGAUGCUACGAACAACAUCACGUACAGGACAGUAGCAGUGUUGCUCUUGAAGAAUCAUUGUACAUUGGACAAGGAUCAUGUGAAGGAAGCCUUGCUGCCAAAGGUCCUCAGGGAAGUAUUGUCCAGUACACAAGACCUCCCUAAAGAACAAAGAAAUAAUUCUGCACGGGAAGAAAACCAGGCAACUUCCGGACCAGGACAUGAUGAAGAAAAUCAGGCAACUUCUGGACCAGGACAUGAUGAAGAAAACCAACUGUUGCCUGAAGCAAAUGGCCAAAUCAACUCACCUGAUCAGGCAAAUGAGGAGCUAAAAGCUAAAAUGGAAUUCCGAGAAGCAUUGUUAUCGCUUACUUUUGUGAUGUGUGACAAACUGAUCACUGCAGAUGACUUCGAUGAUGUGGUUCGAAAUAGUAACAUCGGAGAAGUUAAAUUUGUGGCCAAGUUACAGGCCAUAGUACAAGAGAACCGUGACGCCAGAGCUGAUUGUCUAAGGAUCGUGAAGUUUUGCGGCCAGAUUGUGGUAUUAAUGCUGGAGCGCGGACAGGUCACGGCGCGCCUAAAGUUAUGCGUGGAGUCGCUGCGUGAGACUUCAGAGAUCAUGUCUGACCUUGAAAGCUGCAUGCUAUUUGCAGGGACUGAUUGCGGAGUGAAGAAGACAGCCAGGCCUCUCCUCUCCGAUCUUGUGGAAAAAGCGAGAAAGUUGCUU
rnacentral:rRNA from 1 species